CCACCCGCCGUUAGCUACAGAAGAAAACACAAUACCAACCGAAUCGGACGUACCGCGGAUCGCGACCGUUGCGCGCGUUUAAAGUGUGUGACUAUUUUUUUGUUGUUUUGCGUGCAAUUCGACGCGCGCGAAUAUUUGUAAAUUGUUCAUCAGUUAACUAAUAAAGAGAAAAUGCAGUAAACAAAAGUGAGUUAAUAUCAUGCGCUAUUGUCUAUGUCUUAGCUAAAAUUGAUGGCACCAAUUGUUGUGCCGCCAAAGGUCCGCCCUAAUACACUUGUCGGUCUGAGCUGACUUUUGAAUUGAGCUGUUGUGCCAGUGUUCAGCCUAAUUAGCGCACGCUGCUGCUAUUUACACUUUGUGUCCUAGGGAGACAGAUACACAUGCCGUUGCUGCAGCAGCAGCAGGGUGUGUUCCUUCCUGUGCCUUUUCGCUCGUGCUUUUGUGUGUGUGUGUGUGGAUUGUGAACCUGUGCUAAAAAUCAAUAAAGCACGCUUGUGCAAAAGUCAAACAACAAAGAGACGGCAAGUCCUGCUCCUGUUUCGCUCAUACUCCCACAGUUAGAUAUGAACACAUGUGCGUGACGACAACUAACAAUAAAAUCCGCAGCAAUUAGAGAACUUGGCAAUUAUGCGCGUCGCUUUGUGCAAUUGAAAUUGCAGUUGAAGUUGA